rnacentral:rRNA from 1 species
UACGUAGGGGGCGAGCGUUGUCCGGAUUUAUUGGGCGUAAAGAGCGUGUAGGCGGCCAGGUAGGUCUGCUGUGAAAUCCCCGGGCUCAACCUGGGAAUGGCAGUGGAAACUGGCGAGCUUGAGUGUGGCAGAGGGGGGUGGAAUUCCGCGUGUAGCAGUGAAAUGCGUAGAGAUGCGGAGGAACACCGAUGGCGAAGGCAACCCCCUGGGCUGACACUGACGCUCAGGCACGAAAGCGUGGGGAGCAAACAGG